AUUGAACGCUGGCGGAAUGCUUUACACAUGCAAGUCGAACGGCAGCACGGACUUCGGUCUGGUGGCGAGUGGCGAACGGGUGAGUAAUACAUCGGAACGUGCCCAGUCGUGGGGGAUAACGUAGCGAAAGCUACGCUAAUACCGCAUACGAUCUAAGGAUGAAAGCGGGGGAUCGCAAGACCUCGCGCGAUUGGGGCGGCCGAUGGCAGAUUAGGUAGUUGGUAGGGUAAAGGCCUACCAAGCCGACGAUCUGUAGCUGGUCUGAGAGGAUGAUCAGCCACACUGGGACUGAGACACGGCCCAGACUCCUACGGGAGGCAGCAGUGGGGAAUCUUGGACAAUGGGCGCAAGCCUGAUCCAGCCAUUCCGCGUGCAGGAUGAAGGCCUUCGGGUUGUAAACUGCUUUUGUACAGAACGAAAAGGCUCUGGUUAAUACCCGGGGCUCAUGACGGUACUGUAAGAAUAAGCACCGGCUAACUACGUGCCAGCCGCCGCAGUAAAAC
rnacentral:rRNA from 1 species